AUACGUAGGGGGCGAGCGUUGUCCGGAAUGAUUGGGCGUAAAGGGCGCGUAGGCGGCCCGGUAAGUCUGGAGUGAAAGUCCUGUUUUUAAGAUGGGAAUUGCUUUGGAUACUGUCGGGCUUGAGUGCAGGAGAGGGAAGUGGAAUUCCCAGUGUAGCGGUGAAAUGCGUAGAGAUUGGGAGGAACACCAGUGGCGAAGGCGACUUACUGGACUGUAACUGACGCUAAGGCGCGAAAGUGUGGGGAGCAAACAGGAUUAGAUACCCUGGUAGUCCACACUGUAAACGAUGAAUGCUAGGUGUAGGGGGUAUCGACCCCUUCUGUGCCGCAGUCAACACAAUAAGCAUUCCGCCUGGGGAGUACGGCCGCAAGGUUGAAACUCAAAGGAAUUGACGGGG
rnacentral:rRNA from 1 species